AUUGAACGCUGGCGGCAGGCUUAACACAUGCAAGUCGAGCGGGGGAGGUUGCUUCGGUAACUGACCUAGCGGCGGACGGGUGAGUAAUGCUUAGGAAUCUGCCUAUUAGUGGGGGACAACAUUCCGAAAGGGAUGCUAAUACCGCAUACGCCCUACGGGGGAAAGCAGGGGAUCUUCGGACCUUGCGCUAAUAGAUGAGCCUAAGUCGGAUUAGCUAGUUGGUGGGGUAAAGGCCUACCAAGGCGACGAUCUGUAGCGGGUCUGAGAGGAUGGUCCGCCACACUGGGACUGAGACACGGCCCAGAUUCCUACGGGAGGCAGCAGUGGGGAAUAUUGGACAAGGGGCGCAAGCCUGAUCCAGCCAUGCCGCGUGUGUGAAGAAGGCCUUAUGGUUGUAAAGCACUUUAAGCGAGGAGGAGGCUACUUUAGAUAAUACCUAGAGAUAGUGGACGUUACUCGCAGAAUAAGCACCGGCUAACUCUGUGCCAGCCGCCGCCGUAAGAC
rnacentral:rRNA from 1 species